UACGUAGGGGGCAAGCGUUGUCCGGAUUUAUUGGGCGUAAAGAGCGUGUAGGCGGCCAGACAGGUCCGUUGUGAAAACUCGAGGCUCAACCUCGAGACGCCGAUGGAAACCGUCUGGCUAGAGUCCGGAAGAGGAGAGUGGAAUUCCUGGUGUAGCGGUGAAAUGCGCAGAUAUCAGGAAGAACACCCGUGGCUAAGGCGGCUCUCUAGUACGUUACUGACGCUGAGACGCGAAAGCGUGGGGAGCGAACAGG
rnacentral:rRNA from 1 species